rnacentral:rRNA from 1 species
UACGUAGGGGCCAAGCGUUGUCCGGAUUUAUUGGGCGUAAAGAGCUCGUAGGCGGCUUUCUAAGUCAGGGGUGAAAUCCGGCAGCUCAACUGUCGCAGUGCCUUUGAUACUGGAGAGCUCGAGGGAGGUAGGGGUCUGUGGAACUUCCGGUGGAGCGGUGAAAUGCGUUGAUAUCGGAAGGAACGCCGGUGGCGAAAGCGACGGACUGGAUCUCUUCUGACGCUGAGGCGCGAAAGCCAGGGGAGCAAACGGG